UCGCGAACGCGGAAGUAGAGUCACCGUUAUUAUAACACUCCCGGGAGUGUUCGGGCGCGAUUAAAAGUCCUACCGGGGACUUCGUUUUAUAGAACGCCGAUAAUUUGAUCACGCCGGUCACGCGAAUUUUAAAAUAGAGUCCC